GGUGCGGUGGCAGUCAGCGGUCGGCUCCCUUCUCCGGUGACUGGUUAUUCUUCUUCGGCGGGAGGCUGGCGACUAGGGUUUGAGUUCAGUAUGAUACGAAAUAUUUAUACCAAUCUUGCAUUAAUUUGGAUCGUUCAAUCGCGCAUAAGGAGGAAACGAAUCUGUACUGUUCAUCGCGUUUGAUCUCAACCGUCCAAUCACGUUUAAGAAAGAAAUGAAUCUGAACCAUUCAUCGCGAUUUGAUUCCGACUGUCUGAUCGCGUUUAAAGAAAAACAAAUCUGGACUGUCCACGAACGUGGGAUUGAUCCUUGGCCGUUCGAUCGCAGGGCACGCGGAUCGUCUACGUGACAUUCGGCGUGGCACUAAUGUCAGCGUGCCUUGCCACGCUACGUGUUU
rnacentral:lncRNA from 1 species